GAUGAAGAACGUAGCGAAAUGCGAUACUUGGUGUGAAUUGCAGAAUCCCGUGAACCAUCGAGUCUUUGAACGCAAGUUGCGCCUCAAGCCAUUGGGUUGAGGGCACAUCUGCCUGGGCGUCACAUAUCGUUGCCUGAUGCCAGUUUCCUCGUGAUGGGUGACUGUGCAGGGCGAAUGAUGGCUUCCCGUGAGCAUUGUUGCCUCAUGGUUGGUUGAAAAUUGAGUCCUUGGUAGGGAGCGCCGUGAUAGAUGGUGGUUGAGUGACGAACGAGACCCAAUCAUGUGAGACCCCUACCGAAUUUGGCCUUCAUGACCCACAUGCGUCUUUGGAACGCUCAUGACGAGACCUCAGGUCAGGCGGGGCUACCCGCUGAGUUUAAGCAUAUCAAUAAGCGGAGGA
rnacentral:misc_RNA from 1 species